AGCGAACGCUGGCGGCAGGCCUAACACAUGCAAGUCGAACGAACCUUUCGGGGUUAGUGGCGGACGGGUGAGUAACACGUGGGAACGUGCCUUUAGGUUCGGAAUAACUCAGGGAAACUUGUUCUAAUACCGAAUGUGCCCUUCGGGGGAAAGAUUAAUCGCCUUUAGAGCGGCCCGCGUCUGAUUAGCUAGUUGGUUGAGGUAAUGGCUCACCAAGGCGACGAUCAGUAGCUGGUCUGAGAGGAUGAUCAGCCACAUUGGGACUGAGACACGGCCCAAACUCCUACGGGAGGCAGCAGUGGGGAAUCUUGCGCAAUGGGCGAAAGCCUGACGCAGCCAUGCCGCGUGAAUGAUGAAGGUCUUAGGAUUGUAAAAUUCUUUCACCGGGGACGAUAAUGACGUUACCCGGAGAAGAAGCCCCGGCUAACUUCGUG
rnacentral:rRNA from 1 species